AUCGCUUCUCGGCCUUCCGGCUAAGAUCAAGUGUAGUAUCUGUUCUAAUCAGUUUAAUAUAAUCCAUUUUCCACAAAGGAGCCAGCGAGAUUCAAAAACAAAAUACAAACAAUAU
rnacentral:snRNA from 1 species